UUUGACAGACCUAAAACAAUUACUGUCUGUUGCUAAGGUUUCGGCUAUAAGAAAAAAAAUGUCCUCACGCUUUCUGUCUGAUUGAGGCAGCCAAGGUUGAAUAAAAGAAUACCAGG
rnacentral:snoRNA from 1 species